rnacentral:rRNA from 1 species
GCAGUCGAACGAACUCUGGUAUUGAUUGGUGCUUGCAUCAUGAUUUACAUUUGAGUGAGUGGCGAACUGGUGAGUAACACGUGGGAAACCUGCCCAGAAGCGGGGGAUAACACCUGGAAACAGAUGCUAAUACCGCAUAACAACUUGGACCGCAUGGUCCGAGCUUGAAAGAUGGCUUCGGCUAUCACUUUUGGAUGGUCCCGCGGCGUAUUAGCUAGAUGGUGGGGUAACGGCUCACCAUGGCAAUGAUACGUAGCCGACCUGAGAGGGUAAUCGGCCACAUUGGGACUGAGACACGGCCCAAACUCCUACGGGAGGCAGCAGUAGGGAAUCUUCCACAAUGGACGAAAGUCUGAUGGAGCAACGCCGCGUGAGUGAAGAAGGGUUUCGGCUCGUAAAACUCUGUUGUUAAAGAAGAACAUAUCUGAGAGUAACUGUUCAGGUAUUGACGGUAUUUAACCAGAAAGCCACGGCUAACUACGUGCCAGCAGCCGCGGUAAUACGUAGGUGGCAAGCGUUGUCCGGAUUUAUUGGGCGUAAAGCGAGCGCAGGCGGUUUUUUAAGUCUGAUGUGAAAGCCUUCGGCUCAACCGAAGAAGUGCAUCGGAAACUGGGAAACUUGAGUGCAGAAGAGGACAGUGGAACUCCAUGUGUAGCGGUGAAAUGCGUAGAUAUAUGGAAGAACACCAGUGGCGAAGGCGGCUGUCUGGUCUGUAACUGACGCUGAGGCUCGAAAGUAUGGGUAGCAAACAGGAUUAGAUACCCUGGUAGUCCAUACCGUAAACGAUGAAUGCUAAGUGUUGGAGGGUUUCCGCCCUUCAGUGCUGCAGCUAACGCAUUAAGCAUUCCGCCUGGGGAGUACGGCCGCAAGGCUGAAACUCAAAGGAAUUGACGGGGGCCCGCACAAGCGGUGGAGCAUGUGGUUUAAUUCGAAGCUACGCGAAGAACCUUACCAGGUCUUGACAUACUAUGCAAAUCUAAGAGAUUAGACGUUCCCUUCGGGGACAUGGAUACAGGUGGUGCAUGGUUGUCGUCAGCUCGUGUCGUGAGAUGUUGGGUUAAGUCCCGCAACGAGCGCAACCCUUAUUAUCAGUUGCCAGCAUUAAGUUGGGCACUCUGGUGAGACUGCCGGUGACAAACCGGAGGAAGGUGGGGAUGACGUCAAAUCAUCAUGCCCCUUAUGACCUGGGCUACACACGUGCUACAAUGGAUGGUACAACGAGUUGCGAACUCGCGAGAGUAAGCUAAUCUCUUAAAGCCAUUCUCAGUUCGGAUUGUAGGCUGCAACUCGCCUACAUGAAGUCGGAAUCGCUAGUAAUCGCGGAUCAGCAUGCCGCGGUGAAUACGUUCCCGGGCCUUGUACACACCGCCCGUCACACCAUGAGAGUUUGUAACACCCAAAGUCGGUGGGGUAACCUUUUA